GAAGGAUUGUGUUGUUAAACGCUUGGUUGUUGACGAAGACUGAGGGAGUUUUUCCUUUCCAAUGACUUGGAUUUCCUGUGUCUGACGGAGACUUGAACAGCUUCUGGUGAGUACAAUGCUUUAAUUGAAUUGCUGCCACCUGACCGUGCAUUCCUGGACUCCCCGAAGACUUCAGACCACGGUGGAGGAACGGUGAGUAUUUUUAAGAACAAUUUCAAAUGUAGACGGUGCAUAUUCAUCAAAUCAAUCACCAGCUUUGAAACAACCGUCUUUGAAGUUGGCGUCAGCGUCGCGUCAGCAAUCAUCGCUUGGCAAAGCAUUUUGUGCCUCCCGAUGCCCCACAUCGCCCACAAAUCGUUUCCCCGGCGACUUCCAGCGAUGACGGCAAAGAGGCUGCAUUGCUUCGCAUGGCCGACACCAGGCACACGUCAGCGAUUCGUUGGAAUCAUCUCGUAAUGACGACGGCGAAAACGAUGAAUUGGAGAGCGGUUUGGAUCCCGGUAUGUCGGACGGAUACGUGCCUUCGGACAUAACGGAAAGCAGCUGAGAGUCCUCGCUCGAGCCGCUGGAACGAGGAGAUUGUCCAACCGGAAGCAAAAAGAUGACGACUCCUCGCUUUGGUGGUGAAAAGAAAGGCCAUGCAUCUGGACGUGGUGGGGUGAAUCGAUGUGGUGACGAACUGGAUGGAAUCCAAAAACCAUCUUCUCCACAGCUGCACUUUUGUUCAUAGUUCAAUAGUUUUGUUGUGUGCAAAUAAAUUAUUUUGCUACAGAAAA